GGCUUCUCUGACACAUAAAGGAGGUUUCAAUGGAAAUGAGAGUUUGAACACAGCAUCAAGGCAGAGGUUUGGCUGACAGAACACACCACUCACUGAGAAUGCACAACGAGCGUCAAUUCUUCGACUUUCCUGCCAGCGAUUCCACGAUUAAGGUUCAAUGUAAAUGCUACCACGGCUUCAUUUUCCAUAGUACAGACACUGCCAACUGGAUUGUCACCUGUUUUCUUAUACCGUGCUGUCCCUCAAAUGGAACUCAAAGUGCUUUACAAAGGAGAUCAGGAUCAUUAUCCGCAUUUGAUGGCUGGGGAAACUGAGGCUCAGAGGCAAAGGUACUUGAAGGAAAGACUGGAUAUAUUUACCCAGAGGUAUCCUCUCAUAAGGAAAUGGCGGGCCAGUUACCUUCUCCAGAGGACACUCAAAGGAAGCUGUGUGUGAAUGAGACUCUGCUCCAGGAAUAAACAGGACUCCCUUCAUAGGCAGUCAGUGCCAAUGCUUAACCAGCAGUAGAGUGA